UGGAGGGUGGGCUGAGGUUUUUAUUUAUCACACUGAAGGAUUCAUUUAUGGUCUGUUUCUUUGAUUUUAUUAUGAUUGUACCAGGGUUGUAUGUGAAACUGCUCUGCAAGCCUGUUAAAUUUGGAAUGACUUUGUCCCUCUGCCCUGCAAAGGGGGAGUAGCAGCUGCUGUCAGAAACUACUGAGACAUUAAGACAGGACUUUGUAUGUUGAAUCUGAUUUGGAUCAACUCUGUGUGGAGCAAGGCAUCCUUCUGGAAGACAGUAAACACACCUACAUUUAUCUUUCUUAUGGGGAAUCACUCCCCCCGCCCCAAACUUCUUAGAAAGCUCAAGCUGUUGUCUCCUUAUGUCCCAUGAGAUCAAGAUCUGUCAUCAACUGUGAAGCCAAUUUCCAUCCCACAUUUUAAACAAGUCAGAGAGAGUAA